rfam:Myotis davidii contig51427, whole genome shotgun sequence.
AGGCCUGGAGAGAAAGGCAGGGUCUGAUCUGCAGCAUCCAUGGCAGGUGUUGAUCAGCCGUUGCCUCGUUCUUUCUCUCCA